UACGUAGGGUCCGAGCGUUGUCCGGAAUUACUGGGCGUAAAGAGCUCGUAGGUGGUUUGUCGCGUUGUUCGUGAAAACUCACAGCUCAACUGUGGGCGUGCGGGCGAUACGGGCAGACUGGAGUACUGCAGGGGAGACUGGAAUUCCUGGUGUAGCGGUGGAAUGCGCAGAUAUCAGGAGGAACACCGGUGGCGAAGGCGGGUCUCUGGGCAGUAACUGACGCUGAGGCACGAAGGUCAGGGGAGCAAACGGG
rnacentral:rRNA from 1 species